rnacentral:rRNA from 1 species
AUGAACGCUAGCGACAGGCCUAACACAUGCAAGUCAGGGGCAGCACAGGAGCAAUCUGAGGUGGCGACCGGCGCACGGUGAGUAACACGUAUGCAACCUGCCUGUAAGCGGGGAAUAACCCGUUGAAAGACGGACUAAUACCGCAUAAUACUAAAUUACUGCAUGGUAAUUAUUUUAAACAUUUAUGGCUUACAGAUGGGCAUGCGCAUGAUUAGCUAGUUGGAGAGGUAACGGCUCCCCAAGGCAACGAUCAUUAGGGGUUCUGAGAGGAAGGUCCCCCCACACUGGUACUGAGACACGGACCAGACUCCUACGGGAGGCAGCAGUGAGGAAUAUUGGUCAAUGGACGAGAGUCUGAACCAGCCAAGUCGCGUGCAGGAAGAAUGUCCUAUGGAUUGUAAACUGCUUUUGCAGGGGAAUAAAGUGCAUCACGUGUGAUGUUUUGUAUGUACUCUGCGAAUAAGGAUCGGCUAACUCCGUGCCAGCCGCGGC